rnacentral:rRNA from 1 species
UACGUAGGGUGCAAGCGUUGUCCGGAAUUAUUGGGCGUAAAGAGCUUGUAGGCGGUUUGUCGCGUCUGCUGUGAAAUUUCGGGGCUCAACCCCGAACUUGCAGUGGGUACGGGCAGACUAGAGUGUGGUAGGGGGAGACUGGAAUUCCUGGUGUAGCGGUGAAAUGCGCAGAUAUCAGGAGGAACACCAACGGCGAAGGCAGCACUCUGGGCCGGUACUGACGCUGAGGCGCGAAAGCGUGGGGAGCAAACAGG